rnacentral:misc_RNA from 1 species
GAAAACCUAAACUCAAUCAUUUAUGUGAAUACUGCAAAAAUAUUUAAUAUAAUUGAAAUGUGAUAAAUACAUAUAUUGUUUUUGAUGUUGUUGGUGCUAUAAUUUUUUACAACAGACACUUUCACUUUAGUCCUAUUCGAACCAAAAGUCUGAGAUAUUAAGGAAAAUCAAUAAACCGACCAUAUCAUAUCUGAUCAGACUUUGUACCAUGACAAUGCCUUACAAAUGAUCUCCUAUUCUUUUGGGAAGAGUUGAAAAACAAUGUAAUCUCACUUCUACUUGUUACUUCUCUGGUGUGAAGUUUGCUAAUGCCUCCUUAGCAACUUAUAUCAGCAAAAGAUUUUCAGCAUAGUUAAGUCCCCAAUUUUCAAGUUGACAAUUCAGCAUAAUCACAGUAUCAUACUAGUUGUGAUUGUAUGGUUAAGCUUUUUGUGAGCUGUUGGCACUAAAUCAUUUUUUGCAUGUGAGCCCGCAUCAUUUUGUCUCUCCUUUCUUUGCUCCUAUUACUAGUAGACAUGGG